AUCAAAUGAAAUAAAGCUUAUGGUAGAUUCCUAGGCAUCUAGAGACGACGAAGGGCGUGAAAAACGAAAUGCUUCGGGAAGUAUAGAAUAAUGAUCCGAAGAUCCCCGAAUAGGGCAACCUUUUAAAACUUCCUAGUAAAUUCAUAAAUAGGAAAGAGGCAACCUAGUGAACUGAAACAUCUUAGUAACUAGAGGAAAAGAAAGCAAAAGCGAUUUCCGUAGUAGCGGCGAGCGAACUGGAACCAAGUCUAAACUAAAAAUUCAAAUUUUAGGGUUGUGGGAGAGAAUAAAAAGAUGCAAAAAAACAAAAGCGUUUGCUUUUGUUUUAAAAAUUAAGAGAAGCAGCUGAAUCCUGCACCAGAGAGGGUGAAAGUCCCGUAUUUGAAAAUAAAAAAUUUGUUGAUGUUCUUGAUCCCGAGUAGCAUGGGGCACGUGAAAUCCCGUGUGAAUCUGCGAGGACCACCUCGUAAGACUAAAUACUCCUAGAUGACCGAUAGCGAAAAGUACUGUGAAGGAAAGGUGAAAAAAUCGGUAACUCGAUACAUGAAAUAUUAUGAAACCAUAAGCUGUCAAGCAAUGGGAGGGUUUUUGAACCUGACCAUGUGCCUGUUGAAGAAUGAGCCGGCGACUUAUAGUAAGUGGCGUGGUUAAAGAAAACCAUCUGAAGCCAUAGCGAAAGCGAGUCUUAAUAGGGCGAUAAGUCACUUAUUAUGGACCCGAACCCGGGUGAUCUAACCAUGGCCAGGGUGAAACUUAGGUGAAACUAAGUGGAAGCCCGAACCGACCGAUGUUGAAAAAUCGGCGGAUGAGCUGUGGUUAGGGGUGAAAUGCUAAUCGAACUCGGAGCUAGCUGGUUCUCCCCGAAAUGCGUUGAGGCGCAGCGAUUAAUGAAUAUGGGCUGGAGUAGGGGUAAAGCACUGUUUCGAUGCGGGCUGCGCGAGCGGUACCAAUUCGUAGCAAACUCAGAAUACUAAACAUAAGCUUUCCAUUAAUCAGUGAGACAGUGGGGGAUAAGCUUCAUUGUCAAGAGGGAAACAGCCCAGAUCACUAGCUAAGGCCCCUAAAUGAAUGCUAAGUGGUAAAGGAGGUGAAAAUGCUAAGACAUCCAGAAGGUUUGCUUAGAAGCAGCCAUCCUUAAAAGAGUGCGUAAUAGCUCACUGGUAAAGCGUUUUCGCGCCGAAAAUGAACGGGACUAAGCAAUCUGCCGAAGCUGUGAGUUGAAAUUCGAAAAAACGAAUUUUUGCGGUAGGGGAGCGUUCCGCUCUAGGGUGAAGUAUUUACGGAAAUAAAUAUCGACGAAGCGGAAGUGAGAAUGUCGGCUUGAGUAACGCAAACAUUGGUGAGAAUCCUUUGCCCCGAAAACCUAAGGGUUCCUUCGCAAGACUCGUUCACGAAGGGUUAGUCAGGUCCUAAGGCGAGGCUGAAAAGCGUAGUCGAUGGAAAACAGGUUAAUAUUCCUGUACUAGUUUUUAGUUGAUACCGAGGGACGAAGAAAAUAAAAAAUUAGCCAGAUUCGGAUGGUUGGCAGAGCGACAUGUUCAAGUUUUUCAAAAAAGAGAUUAGAAGAAAAACUAAUCUGACGAACUAGUACACGACUUACUCUCACUAGUGGAAAUUGGUAACAAGAUCCAUCAAGUGUAAUAUUUUAUUAAGCUUCCUAGAAAAGCUCGUAGUAUUGUUAAAAUAAAAAUUACCUGUACCGUAAACCGCCACAGGUAGGUAGGUAGAGUAUACUGAGGGGCGCGAGAUAACUCUCUCUAAGGAACUCGGCAAAAUGACCCCGUAACUUCGGGAGAAGGGGUGCCUCUGGAGAAAUCUAGAGGCCGCAGUGACCAGGCCCAAGCGACUGUUUACCAAAAACACAGGUCUCCGCUAAGUCGUAAGACGAUAUAUGGGGGCUGACGUCUGCCCAGUGCCGGAAGGUUAAGCACGUUGGUUAUUCUUUAUUGAAAAAGCUGACAACCGAAGCCCCGGUGAACGGCGGCCGUAACUAUGACGGUCCUAAGGUAGCGAAAUUCCUUGUCAGGUAAGUUCUGACCCGCACGAAAGGCGUAACGAUUUGGGCGCUGUCUCGGAGAGAGACUCGGUGAAAUAGACAUAUCCGUGAAGAUGCGGAUUACUUGCACCUGGACAGAAAGACCCUAUGAAGCUUGACUGUAGCUUGUAAUUGAAUUUGGGUUUUUUUUGCGCAGACUAGGUGGGAGGCAUUGAUUCUGUUUUUCAGGAAAUAGAGGAGCCGCUUUUGAGAGACCACCCUUAAAACGCUAGAAUUCUAAUAAUGAUCCUUGAAUCAGGACAUUUGACAGUUGCAGGUGGGCAGUUUGACUGGGGCGGUCGCCUCCUAAAAAGUAACGGAGGCGUGCAAAGGUUCCCUCAAACUGGACGGAAAUCAGUUUAAGAGUGUAAAGGUAGAAGGGAGCUUGACUGCAAGACCUACAAGUCGAGCAGGGGCGAAAGCCGGCCUUAGUGAUCCGACGGUACCGUGUGGAAGGGCCGUCGCUCAACGGAUAAAAGUUACUCUAGGGAUAACAGGCUGAUCUUCCCCAAGAGUUCACAUCGACGGGAAGGUUUGGCACCUCGAUGUCGGCUCAUCGCAUCCUGGGGCUGUAGAAGGUCCCAAGGGUUGGGCUGUUCGCCCAUAAAAGCGGUACGUGAGCUGGGUUCAGAACGUCGUGAGACAGUUCGGUCCAUAUCCGGUGGAAGCGUUAGAGUAUUGAGAGGAUUCUUCUGCUGUACGAGAGGACCCGGAAGGACGUACCACUAGUGUACCAGUUCUUGUUCCAGCAGGAAACGCUGGGUAGCCAAGUACGGAGUGGAUAACUGCUGAAAGCAUCUAAGUAGGAAGCCCACCUCAAGAUGAGUACUCUCAUUAAGGUCUCGGUAAGACAAACCGUUAUAUAGGUAUCAAGUCGAAGAUUAGUAAUAAUUGCAGCUGAGGUAUACUAAUAGACCGUUUGAUUUUGAU
rnacentral:rRNA from 1 species